rnacentral:lncRNA from 1 species
UCCGCCCCCAAACUCUCUUACUCUCUGGCACUCAAAAUCCUAGCCGUUCCUCGGCCUCUUCCGACCAGUCCCACCGGAUUCCAUGGCUUUUUAGGCCAUGAAGAGCCUGUUCUCACCCUCUUUCACUCCAAAGACAAUUUGUUCAAGGUUUUGAGGUAUGACCUCGAUGGUGUUCGAGCAGAUCCUCCACAGAUCUGGGGUUCUAUGGCCACUCCGGCUCCAUUCCAACGUAUUCGAGCCUUAUGAUCGUAGCUAUGACUCAAACCUGUUCAAGACCAGACCCUUUCCAAGCCUUCUCAAUUGAAACCCUAAAUCUUUCAAGGUUCCUUCUUCUUUUGUUUUUUUGAUCUGUGUUGAAUCUACGAUGUGUUCAACGUUUUAAGCUUUUCCCUAAUUUUCUUUUCAGAAUUAGUCUAUUUCGAUUUAGGGUUUUCAAAAAAUCUUAAAACGACUUAAGUUUUCUUCGUCUUCUUCUUCUUCUUCUUCUUCUUUCUUUAUGUGCAUCUAUCUGUAUACUCCAUGUUCUUAUGAGUUUUUUGCUUGUGCUCUUAUGCUCUUUCUUCUCAUGUCUUCUACUAUGUUCUUGUGUUUUGCCGUUAUCAAGCAUGCUCUUCUAUUUUUGUGUUCUGUUCUUUCUCCUACUGGGUUCUACGAGCACGCUUUAUGUGUCUCUCUUGUGUUUUUACUGAGCUUUUUUCCUGCCUUUACUGGGUUUUGAUUCAUCUACUACUUUCCUAAAACCUGUAUUGUUUUUCUCUUCUGAACUUGUUUGAGCAACAAGCUUUGCCUGAAUGUAUUUCUUGUAUAUUGAAUUUGCUUUUCUCUUUGUUUUUUCUCUCAUAAGCCUCUGAAAGAGACUAUUGAUGCAUAUUCAACUUUUUGUUUCCUCGCCUAUGUAUCUGAUUUGAGUCACAAACCCUGGUGUUUUGGGGUUUUGACAAGUUUGUCUGUGUGCUUGGGCUAUGGUUCCAUUCAAAACCCCGACCCUCUUUCAAGACUCACUUUGAGUCUAUGAACCUGGCUUUAUCUGUUACUUUGAUUCCUUUGCUAGUUGUGCAACAACUCUCUAUUGUCGUUGUAUGGUUUUUAUAUGAUUUCUCCUCUUUCAAAAGACCUUUGGCCAGCCUGUGAUUGAUUUCGAGUCCCUUUUCCAAGGGAUUGACUGAUUGUUAAUGAUUUUCUUCAUUAAGUCUCUCUUUACCUUUUCUGGGAUGGAUUCAUUCAUUCCAAGACUCGAAAUCUUGAUUUCACUGGCUAUGAUUGAUUGCUUUCCAUAUUUCUGUCCCAAGCGUGUGCUAUUGAUUGCUUUCCUUAAAUAACUUCUGUGUAUUUACCCCUUUUAUGCUACUUUGAAAGGUUUUAAUCAAAAUUCUCUUUCCUAAACUGGUUUUACCCAUUGGAAUCAGACUCCUUUAACUAAAGGGAGACAGAUUUUAACGAUAUUGCCUUAACAAGAGGGGUUGCUUUGAUGGUAAGCAACCCCCACUUCCAACCGAGAGGUUGUGAGUUCGAGUUGCUCUAAUGGUAAGCAACCUUCACUUCCAACCGAGAGAAUGUGAGUUCGAGUCUCCCCAAGAAUAAGGUGGGAAGUUCUUGGAGGGAAGGAUUUUCUUGGAGGGAUUGGAAACAACCUCUCUACCCAAGGGUAGGGGUAAGGUCUGCGUACACACUACCCUAUCCAGACCCCACUAAGUGGGAUUAUACUGGGUUGUUGUUGUUGUUGUUGUUGUUGUUGAGACUAAACCGAAUUCCACACUAUUAAAUAGGUUCUAAAAUAGCACCAGAAAUAGAACUUUUUUGGAAAUCACAAUUCACGCUGAAAAAAGUGUAUUCUUCACGCCGAGAAAAAUAAAGGUUGUCAGAAUUGAUGUAAUUUAUGUGUAGGCUCAGGAUCAUUGGACGAUAAGUUGUCCCGAAGAAGUUUUGUCAUAAAAUAGCCGGAAUGGUUCAGACGCGCCGGAAAAGCUACUAUAGCUAGCAGGAACACUAGUUCGGGCAACGCAUGGAGGCGCGUGAGGGACUUUUUGCCAGAGCGAAUGACAGGGGUUUUGUUGCCUGACUUUUCCAAAUAAAAUGGUAGUAUUGGUUUCUCAUAACACUUACCGAUGAGGAGAUAACGCAAAUUAAUCUUGAGUCAACCGGAAUAAGCACCAUGACUGAUUUUUUGUUUCAAUGGGACCAGAAUUUUUGGGGUUUGGUAGCACAAGGGUUUCGAAUUUGGUGGCGGUACUGGUAUAUGCACAGUACCACUGCAGCAGUGAUGAACCCUAAACAAGAUAAAGCAUUCUUAUUUAUUUCCUUGCCCUAUAAAAGGGACUGUCCUUCGGUACUAUUAAUACGGACACACAUAGACAGACUUCGAAUUUUUCAAAACUUUCUCUACACUACUUCUGCAUUCAAAAAUACAACUUUUCUUCAUUCUUUCACAAUCAACCUGCUUUCUAAGCUUAUAGUAUUGAGCACUAUGCUCCUCUUCUCCUUUUACUUUCUGAAACAUUCUUGAGUUCUUUUUGAACUCUCAAUAUUUGCUGAAGAUUUAAGUCUGCUCCUGCUGAUCUUUUGCUGUUUGCUUACUCUGUUGUUCUGCUAUUCUAGUACUUUGCAUCUGAUGGUAUGUCACUCUUAUUUAAAUAAUGCCCCUUCACUAUGUGUUUACUUCCUAGCCUGUUAUUCUCUCUUUCUCUAUGCGUUUACAUCUUGGUCUGCUAUGCCUUCUUUCCUUUUGUAUAUGCAACUCUGUUUGCUUUUCUUAGGUGAAUCCCUUCCCUUUACCCUUUUGAAUGUGAGCAUAGUUCCAGCCAUGGCAGCACCUUGUUAUUGUUGUCCAUCACUUUGAACUAGGUUAUUUGAACCCUUUACUCAAAUCAACUCCCAGUUCCUUUCCCCUAUAUCUGUUGAGCCUGACUUGGGUUUGGUGGUUCCCUAAUCACCAUCUAAACUCAAGUCUGACCUUUAAGGUCUGCUCUUAACUUUUUUGGGCCGACGCAUGAUCAGGGGUGUAACGAUCUACACCUAUGGCUAAGCAUGACCACCAUUUGCUAUGUCUCCCCAAUCACUUUGCACAUAUUCCUAGUUCUAUGUCCUACCCCUCUCUGGUAAGCCAUGUUUUGGGACCCUAGAGCUCCAUCUGAACUUGGAUGCCUGAGGGCUGGCUAUUCCACGCUGCACUAUUCUAUUCUAAAUGGCAUCUUGAGUGUAUUCAAUGCCGGGAAUCCUUGAGGUUCCUUGGAACUUUAAUGCACUUUGGAUAUAAGAAGGCUUUGAAAAGCUGGAAUCCAGAAUUGGUUGAUCACAUGUUAUUAGAAAAUAUGGUUGCAUUAGGCUGAUUGGAUCUAGUUGUAGCCUUUGUCUAUUAUAUAUUUUUCUUCCUUCUUUUUUGGUUAUGUAAUAAUUUUUAAAAGAACUCGGGGAAAUGUAGUAAAAGUGUGUGGGAGGGGUUUACUUUCUUGCAUCAAGUAAAAGGGUAGAUAUCAUGCCUUUAGGACUUUAUUUUUCUCAUUAGACGUCCUGCCUAUAGGUUUGUUUAACAUUUUAAUUCAGUCACCUAGAUACCAUGCCUAUAGGGUUAAUUCUUAUUCAUAUUGCAAGUCAUUAGAAAUCCUGCCUAUAGGACUUUAACGUUUAUAUAAUCAGUUGCAUUAGAAAUUCUGUCUAUAGGACCUUAAUGUCUAAUUAAUUAGUGCAUAUAGAAACCAUGCCUAUAGGGAAUGCAUACGCGUUAGGCAAAUUGUUGGGUAAUCAAACAAUCACUCUUAUAUCAGUUCAAUGACAGGUCUUAAAAAUCAAAUAUAGAUAUAAUUCCUAUAGGAAUACGUCUCAAACUUGCUUGAUUUGUCUUAAACAAUAACGAUCUGUUAACUGGUCUUUAAUGUUUUAAUGUCAUAUUUUCAAUAGAACUCUUAUAAACCAGUAUGCCUUCUAAACUCUUCAAAUCUGCAUCCUUUUCUGAAAUAAUUCCUUUACAAUAUUCUGUCUAAAUGUUUUAUCAGUCCCUGAAACUGUCUUUCAAAUUGUCCUUCAACUCAUUCUUCCUUUUAAAAUAUUCUCAAUUUUGAAACUCUUUCACAACUCUCAUGUGUUUUACUCAAAAAAUAUGAUGAUUUUAAACUCGUUUCUAAAACUUAAUGCAGUCUUUGCUUUCUUGUUUAAAUUUUCUGCGUUAGACUAUUCUUCUCUGAAAUCGGUACUUUCCGAACAACUCGUUUAAAAUGCCUUUAUUUCAUACAAUUGGAUCCAAGUUUCCUAAUGCAGACUUUUUAUCUAAUUCUAUGUGUUAAACUAGUCUGUUCGCUAUUUAUGUUUAAUUUAAAGACCAAAUCAGUAUGUGCAAGGCAUGCUAAACUAUGUGUUAUAUGAUUUACAGGUUUUUUGUGAGCCUUACAUGUUGUUUGGUAACCCCCUCUACUUGCUACUUGUUUUUGUAUGUCGAAACUAGUAUUUUAUCCUUUAAAUCCCAUAUAUGCUCCUAUCCCUUUUUCUUUUCCCCUUUAGGAUUAGAAGUCCUAAUACCCAGGGAUUGAUAGGUUGGGAUGGGUAUUAGCAUGCAAUAAGUAAACGAGACUAAUUGCCUUUAAAUACCUUAACGGGUGGGAAGGGUAGAAUAUGGAGAUGAUGACCGGUGCGCUAAUAUCACGUGCGACCCAUCUUUUGGGGAGUGUGCGCCAGGUGUUGCAUUGAUGUGAUCCAUUUUGUAUAAACCUAUGACCCUUUUCCCUUUUCUUUGCUUGCAAAUCUUUUUUUCUUAAAAUUAUGUUUUCCUUCUUUUUCCCAAAAUCGUUUAUUCCUUUCUAUCCUUUAAGCUUUCAGACUUAUUUGUGAAUUCUUAUGUGCAAACUCUAUUUUCUUCUUCUAUUUCUUUAAAAGUCAGAAUUAAAGCAUGGCGGGGAACCACACUAGUGGAUCUUGAGGGGUGCCUAACACCUUCCCCUCGAGAUAAUCUCUAAGCCCUUACCCGAAUCUGGUUUUCUUUCAAAAUUGCUUCAUCUUUUAAAAGUUUCCUAAUGCACUAUAAUAAUUAGGUGGUGACUCUCCAAAUUCUAUAACCCAAUUCUCGCAAGGGAGUAAGAGUUUUCUUCCUAUAAUGUCGUAAACCCAAUUUUUCUUUGGAAAAAGGGGGUGUUGACAAUUCAACCCAUCAGAUCUAGCAUGGAUCAAGAGUUGGAGGUGGACAUUAUUUAUCAGCAGGUAGUGAGCAUUGCUAGGAGGAUUGAGGGUUUGUACGCUAGAGAGCGAGAGGAGAGAGAGGCCAAGAUGUCUCGAGAGUUGGGUCACUACUCUGGUACCCGUAUCCCAGCAACAAGUCAUUAUGGAAGGGGUUAUAUGGGUUGCCCCGUUCAGUUGGAUCUUCCAUCAUCAUCCAGCAGUACUCCAGCUCCUCCCAGAUCUCAGGAGCCUUACUAUGCGCCCAUGGUUUCUAGCACGCCUCCUACGCAGGGUGCUUUCAAAGGAUAGUCCAGCAGAUCUGGUCCCAAUAAGUCACAACCACUAUGCCCUCCCAGAGCUUGAUUUGAGUGUGGUAACACAUUCCACAUGGUUAGGGAUUGCCCCAUACUUGGGAGGGGUGCGCUUUCUCAGACUCCUCAGCCAUCGCAUUCUUCACAGAGUUCACAGGCUAUUGUUCCAGCUCCAGCUGCCACCCCAUCUACCCAGCCAACUAUGGCAGAUGUCGGGGAGGUAGAGGUUGCACUCGAGGGGGAGGCCAGGCUAGAUAUUAUGCUAUUCCUACUCGUAUCGAGGUUGUUCCCUUCGAUUCUGUCAUCACAUGUAUUGUACUGGUCUGUCACCGAGAUGCAUCGGUUCUAUUCGAUGCAGGCUACACUUACUCUUAUGUGCCUUCUUAUUUUGCUCCGUAUUUGGGUGUAGCCCGAGAUUCUUUGAGUUCUCCUGUUUAUGUUUCUACUCCCAUGAGAGAUUCUCUUAUUGUGGAUCGCGUUUAUCGAUCAUGUUUGGUUACUAUUCAUGGUUUUAAGACCAGAGCAGAUCUAUUAUUACUCAACAUGGUUGAUUUUGAUAUUAUCCUGGGCAUGGACUGGUUGUCGCCCCAUUAUUCUAUUCUCGAUUGUCACGCUAAGACCGUGAUGCUGGCUAUGCCAGGUUUUCCGCGUGUUAAGUGGAGUAGUACUUUAGAUCACACUCAUAGUAGAGUUAUCUCUUUUCGAAAAGCUCAUCGUAUGGUUUAGAAAUGGUGUGCUGCGUAUUUAGCUUUUGUGGGAGAUGUCAGUGUUGAUACCCCUUUUGUUCACUCAGUCCUAGUGGUACGGGACUACCCCGAUGUGUUUUCUAUUGAUUUUUUGGGCAUGCCACCCGAUAGAGACAUUGACUUUGGCAUUGAUUUGUUCGCGGGCACACAACCCAUUUCCAUCCCUCCGUACCGUAUGGCUCCUCCUGAGUUGAAGAAGUUGAAGGAUUAUUUACAGGAAUUGCUUGAUAAGGGUUGUAUUCAACCUAGUGUUUCACUGUGGGUGCUCCCAUCUUGUUUGUGAAGAAAUCUGAUUCUUCCACACGUAUGUGCAUCGAUUAUUAUAAGUUGAAUAAGGUUACAGUGAAGAAGUGUUAUCCUUUGCCUUGUAUUGAUGAUCUAUUCGACUAGCUUCAUGGCAGACAUGUGUUUUCUAAGAUAUAUUUGCACUCAGGUUACCAUCAGUUGAAGAUUCGGGAGCCGGAUAUCCCAAAAACUGCCUUCAGGACUCGGUAAGUCCAUUACGAGUUUUUAGUCAUGCCAUUUGGGCUGACCAAUUCCCCAACAACUUUUAUACAUUUGAUGAACAGUGUGUUUAGGCCAUAUCUUGACUCGUUUGUCAUUAUAUUCAUAGAUGAUAUUCUUGUUUACUCCUGGAGUUGGGAAGAGCACGAGGAACACCUGAGGACAGUGCUUCAGGCUUUGAGGGAAAAGAAAUUGUAUGCAAAGUUUUCAAAAUGUGAGUUGUGGUUGGAUUCUGUGGCCUUUUGGGUCACAUGGUGUCGAGCGAGGGUAUUCGGGUGGAUCCGAAGAAGGUAGAGGCGGUGAAGAGUUGUCCUAAACCUUCCUCCAUGACAGAAAUUUGCAGUUUUCUUGGCUUGGCGGGUUAUUACCGUCGAUUUAUUGAGAGGUUUUCUUCUAUCACAGUUCUUAUUACUAGACUGACCCAGAAGGGUGCUCCGUUCCAGUGGACGGAAGAGUGCGAGACGAGCUUUCAGAAGCUCAAGACAACUUUGACUACAACCCUAAUUCUUAUAUUUUCUACAUGUUCGGGAUCAUAUGCUGUCUAUUGUGAUGCCUCGACGAUUGGUCUUAGAGCGGUAUUGAUGCAGGACGGUAGGGUGAUUGCCUACGCAUCCAGACAGCUGAAAGUACAUAAGAAAAAUUAUCAUGUCCACGAUCUUGAGUCAGCUGUUAUUGUUCAUGCUUUGAAGAUCUGGCGUCACAGAUCAUCGAAGUUUGAAGUUCUUGUUCAAGCAAAAUGAUCUAAAUUUGCCCUAGAGGAGGUGGUUAGAGUUGUUGAAAGAUUAUGACAUCACUAUUCUGUAUCACCCGAGUAAGGCCAAUGUGGUGGCCGAUGCCUUGAGUCGUCAGGCAGAGAGUUUGGGGAGUUUGGCGUAUCUGUCAGCAUCAGAGAGGCCUACGGUGAUGGAUAUUCAGGCCUUAGCCAGCCAUUUUGUGAGAUUGGAUCUUUCGGAGCCCAUUCGGGUUCUAGCUUAUGUGAUUUCUCGAUCUUCUUUGUUCGAUCAUAUCAGGGAGCGGCAACAUGAUGACCCCCAUUUACUUUUCCUCAAGGAUAUGCUUCAGCAUGGAGAGGCCAGGGAUGUGACUAUCUGUGUACCCAAUGUUGAUGAUAUUUGGGGGUUGAUAUUGGCAGAGGUUCAUAGUUUGCGAUAUUCCAUCCAUCUUGGUCCGCGAAGAUGUAUCAGGACUUGAGACUCACUACUGGUGGAGGCAGAUGAAGUAAGACAUAGAGGGGUUUGUAGCUAGAUGCCUCAACUGUCAGCAGGUGAAGGCUGAGCACCAGAGACCGGGUGGGUUAUUUUAGCAGAUAGAUUUUCCGGAGUGGAAAUGGAAGAAUAUCACCGUGGAUAUUGUAACUGGUCUCCCUCAGACUGCGAAGUAGUUCAAUGCCAUUUGAGUUGUUGUGGAUCGGCAGACCAAGUCCGCGCACUUCAUUCACGUGUGACUAAUUAUUCAACGAAGCGGUUAGUAGGGAUUUACAUCAUAGAGAUUGUUUGUCUGCACGAUAUUCCAGUUUCUAUCAUCUCAGAUAGGGGUCCUCACUUCACACCAUGUUUCUAGAAAGCCGCUCAGCAGGAGUUGGGUACUCCGGGUGACGAUGAGCACAUCAUUUUACCCCCAUACAGACGAACAGUCUGAGAAUACCAUUUAGAUUCUUAAGGAUAUGCUCUGUGUGUGCGUGAUUGAGUUUGGAGGGUCUUGGGAUCACUUCUUGCCAUUGGCGGAGUUUUCUUACAAUAAUAGUUAUCAGUCCAGCAUUCAGAUGGUGCUGUAUGAGGCUUUAUAUGGUAGUAGGUGUAGAUCUCAUGUGGGUUGGUUUGAGCCGUGUGAGGCGAGAAUUUUGAGCACAAAUUUGGUUCAGGAUGCCUUGGAAAAGGCUAAGGUGAUUCAGGAUCGACUCCGUAAAGCCUAGUCCAGACAGAAGAGUCACACGGACCGAAAGGUUCGUGAUGUUUCCUUUAUGGUUGGUGAGCGAGUUCUGCUUUGAGUCUCGCCUAUAAAAGGCGUCAUGAGGUUUGGAAGAAAGGGAAGUUGAGUCCGAGGUUUAUUGGCCAUUUUGAAAUUUUGAGACGAGUUGGGGAGGUUACUUAUGAGCUUGCAUUACCUCCCAGUUUGGCCGGGGUUCAUCCGAUAUUUCAUUUUUCGAUGCUCCGGAAGUAUUACGGUGUCCCGUUGUAUGUGUUGGAGUUCAAUUCAUUCCAAUUGGACAAGGGUCUAUCCAAUGUUAAGGAGCCAAUGGAAAUAUUGGACAGGAAGGUCCGAAAGAUCAGGCAAAGAAUAUAGCAUCAGCAAAGGUCUAGUGGCGGGGUCAGCCAGUCGAGGAGGAAACUUGGGAGAACGAGAGGGAUAUGCGCAGCCGAUACCCUCAUAUUUUCACUACUUCAGGUAUGUUCUGUAUGCUCGUUUGAGGACGAAUGAACGUUUAAGUGUGGGAGGAAGUAACAACCCGGCCUGUCAUUUUUAUAAUUUAUCCCCCGAUCCCCUAUUUGUUGUUUCCCCUAAGUUCAUUUAUGAUAUUUUGGUUGUCGGGAUGUUCGGUGUUAGGAUUCGGUGUGUUUCGGGACACUUGGUCCUUAAAUAAGAGCUUAAGUGUUGGAAAGUGGUCCGUAAUAGGAAUAGUGUAAAGACGGCCUCGGAAUAGGAAUCUAAUAGUUUCAUUAGCUCCGUUAGGUGAUCUCGGGGUUGGGAGCGUGUCCGGGAUGUAUUUUGAAGGUAUGUAGCUCAUUUAGGCUAGAAAUGCCGAAGUUUGAAUUUUUGAAAUUUCCGGUCUGAUAGUAAAUUUUUGAUCUGAGUGUCGGAAGAGAAUUCCGGAUGUUUCUGUAGCACCAUCACGUCAUUUUGGAUGUGUGCGCAAACUUUUAGGUCAAUCAGACGCAUUUUGGUUAGGUUUUUGAUCGAAAGCAAGUUUGGUUCAAAUUUAAAGUUCUUAGGUUCAAAUCAUUAAUUAGUUAGAGUUUUCGGCGUUGUUUUAGGUGGUUUAAGGAUUGAUACAAAUUUGAAUGAUGAUAUGGGUUAUGUCCGUAGGUUUGGUUGAGGUCUCAGGGGCCUCGGGUGUGUUUCGGAUGCUCAACAGAGCAUUUUAAAGUUGAAAGAAUUGCAGAAAAUCCUUCAAUUGUGCAGGCCCAGAUAUCUUCUUCGCAUUCGCAGCUGCCCUUCCGCGUUCGCGUAGCUAUAGCCCUCCCCUUCACUGAGUUCGCGACCCCUCUCCCGCAUUCGGGUAGUGUAAAUCCUGGAUGAAGGGCUAGUUUCUCUUUGUGUUCGCAUUGCCCUCCCACAUUUGCGAAGCUUAGCCCACUCCCUCUUCGUGUUCGCGUUCUCUGCCACGCGUUCCCGUACAUCUAUCAGUUCCUUCCUCGCAUUCACGGACGCGUCCACGCAUUCGCAUAGACCAAAUUUCGGAACCCAAUUAUUUUCUCUAUCGCGUUCGCGAUUAGUCCCUCGCGAUUGCGAAGGGCAUCUUUUGGCCAGAUUACAUUUUUUCUAUGUAAACGCGAGAACCUACUUCGCGUUCGCGAUGCUUUAGAGGUUUGAAUAGUACUUAACAUUUCAAAAACGAGGUUUUGCCAUUUUUAUCAAAACACAAGAUUGGGAGCUCGAAUUUGGGAGAAAUUUCGAAGGUUUUUCAAAGGCAAUCACUGGUUAACGAUUCCUUACUCUAUUAUGACUAAAACCCACUAAUAAUCACAAAUUCCUCUUUAAUUUCGGAUUUUUGAAUGAAAAUUAGGGAAAACUUCUUAGACCUAGAUAUGGGUUUUGAGUGGGAAUUUGACCUCUGAUUUGGGAGAUUUAUAUAUGGUUAGACUCAUGAGAUUACGAGAGUUCUGAAAACAAAAAAAUUAUUUGAUCCCGAAACGUUGGCCUGAGGGGCGUUUUGGUCAUUUUACCUAUUUCGCGCCUUAGCUUUAAGUUUAAUAGUGGAAUCUAUUGCUUGUGAUGUUAUUUACGUUAUGUAAUUGAAUUGAAUAAAUUUGGGCCACCCGGAGUCUGAUACUCGUGGUAAAAGCGUGGUUCCUCAGUUGCUUUUGUAUCAGUUCGAGGUAAGUGGCUUGUGUAACUUUUUGUGGGGGACCUUUCCCCUUAGGAUAUGUUGUUUGACGCUUUAAAUGCCUUGUACGCGAGGUGAGGAGCGUGUACUUGAGUUAAUUGUUGGAAAUCCGCUUUUACUUGAAAUAUUUAAACUGUGUUUUCUUGCUUACUUGACUAUUCUAAAUUCAAGUUUAACCUGUGUUAGUUAGAAAAUCAUGAUUAAUUAAAUUUAACUGCAUAGGUGCUCAAUGUUUCUAAAUAUUACUACGUGAAGCAUGCUAGGCUUGUAAUACCUAUUUGUUUGUGUUUAAUAAUUGAAUUAUGAAUAUCUUUUGGUUGUGACUGCGCAUUUACGUUGGGACUACGGAUGUGGGAUUCCAGUAGCCCCCCCCCCCCCCCCCUUUUUUUUUUUUUUUUUUUUUUUUUUUUUUUUUUUUUUUUUUUUUUUUUUUUUUUUUUUUUUUUUUUUUUUUUUUUUUUUUUUUUUUUNNNNNNNNNNNNNNNNNNNNNNNNNNNNNNNNNNNNNNNNNNNNNNNNNNNNNNNNNNNNNNNNNNNNNNNNNNNNNNNNNNNNNNNNNNNNNNNNNNNNNNNNNNNNNNNNNNNNNNNNNNNNNNNNNNNNNNNNNNNNNNNNNNNNNNNNNNNNNNNNNNNNNNNNNNNNNNNNNNNNNNNNNNNNNNNNNNNNNNNNNNNNNNNNNNNNNNNNNNNNNNNNNNNNNNNNNNNNNNNGGGAUUCCAGUAGCCCCCCCCCCCCCCUUAUUUUUUUAUUUUGGGACUGCGAGUUCGAUUCCUGAUAGAUCCCCCUGCACAUUGAUAGUUGGACUACGGAACAAUAUCUCGGGAGAUCCUUCGGAUAUACAGAUAUGAUGGACUACGGGACGGUAUCCCGGGAGAUCCACUGGACAGUUGAGAAAAGAACUACAUGAUGGUAUCCUGGGAGAUUCUCAUGGUAUCUUGAUAUUGAGUUGCACCUUGUUGUGUUAUUCUUUACUUCAAUUAUUUGAUGUUGACUUGUAGCUUCUGUCUUACUUCGCUGUUGUUUUCAUUAUCUUACCUGCUCUUAUGCUGUACAUUAUUAUUGUCAUAUUUAUUCUCAGUAGAGCCCUGACCUUCCUCGUCACUACCCGAUUGAGGUUAGGCUUGGCACUUACUGAAUACCAUUGUGGUGCACUCACGCCUGUUCUAUGCAUGUUUUUCAUAUGAAGAUAUAGGUACCUCUGCUCAGGCGCAUUACUAGUGAUUCAAGAGAGUUUCGGG